AUUGAACGCUGGCGGCAGGCCUAACACAUGCAAGUCGAACGGUAACAGGAAACAGCUUGCUGUUUCGCUGACGAGUGGCGGACGGGUGAGUAAUGUCUGGGAAACUGCCUGAUGGAGGGGGAUAACUACUGGAAACGGUAGCUAAUACCGCAUAACGUCGCAAGACCAAAGAGGGGGACCUUCGGGCCUCUUGCCAUCGGAUGUGCCCAGAUGGGAUUAGCUAGUAGGUGGGGUAACGGCUCACCUAGGCGACGAUCCCUAGCUGGUCUGAGAGGAUGACCAGCCACACUGGAACUGAGACACGGUCCAGACUCCUACGGGAGGCAGCAGUGGGGAAUAUUGCACAAUGGGCGCAAGCCUGAUGCAGCCAUGCCGCGUGUAUGAAGAAGGCCUUCGGGUUGUAAAGUACUUUCAGCGGGGAGGAAGGGAGUAAAGUUAAUACCUUUGCUCAUUGACGAUACCCGCAGAAGAAGCACCGGCUAACUCCGUG
rnacentral:rRNA from 1 species